rnacentral:rRNA from 1 species
UACGUAGGGGGCAAGCGUUAUCCGGAAUCACUGGGUGUAAAGGGAGCGUAGACGGCUGAGCAAGCCUGAAGUGAAAGGCCGGGGCCCAACCCCGGGACUGCUCUGGAAACUAUUGAACUUGAGUGCAGGAGAGGUAAGCGGAAUUCCUAGUGUAGCGGUGAAAUGCGUAGAUAUUAGGAGGAACACCAGUGGCGAAGGCGGUCUGCUGGACAGCAACUGACGCUGAGGCGCGAAAGCGUGGGGAGCAAACAGG